AUCACUAAGCGGAGGAAAAGAAACUAACAAGGAUUCCCCCAGUAACGGCGAGUGAAGUGGGAAUAGCCCAGCACCGAAUCCCUCAGCCUUGCGCUGCCGGGACCUGUGGUGUUUGGGACGACCGCUGUCGUGUUGUUCGGGUGCCCAAGUCCUCCCGAUCGGGGCCUCUCCCACAGUGGGUGUCAGGCCUUUACCGGCACUCGUCGACACGGCUAUGGUCGUCCUUGGAGUCGGGUUGUUUGGGAAUGCAGCCCAAAGUUGGUGGUAAACUCCAUCUAAGGCUAAAUACUGACACGAGUCCGAUAGCGGACAAGUACCGUGAGGGAAAGUUGAAAA
rnacentral:rRNA from 1 species